rnacentral:tRNA from 1 species
UCUGCGUUAUGAUUACAACGACUUUAUUCAGCAACACAAUAUAGCGCCUCGUUUUAGAGCUGCAUACGAUAUUUUUG